rnacentral:lncRNA from 1 species
CCAUCUCACCCUGCACUGGGAUGUCCCAGAGAGCUUACCGAAGUUUAUUUUCUAACUUUGGCUUUUAGAUCACUAAAUAUAUAUAUAUAUAUAUAAUUUUUAUUUAUAAAUUAUUUUUUAAUUAUAAAUAUAUCAUUUGGUUUUCGGCUUUCUCUAUAAAAAACCAAACAAUCACCACUUUGUUAUCUCGGCCCAAGCCAGUUGCUUGUGAAUACCAAACGAGCAAACACUCUCAAAGCACACGAUGCUUGGGAUGGCAAGUUUCAGGAGUUCAGCAGACAGGCUGACAUUCCGCGAGUUGGCUCCCCGCUGGACUGUCAUGAGUCCAAAACAUUCUUCCCCCAAUGUGUCUGCAGUGUACUUGAAAACACAUGAGCAAGAUAGCUCCAAUGGGUCUGUUUUGUAAUGCUAGCUCUCCCAAUGCCUUCCAUACUCAGACUCUUCUCUCUGUUUUUCUGUCACUCAGAAUUGACAGUUCACAAGGAUCAUUGAGGAGGAGGAAGGGAAGCAAAUGGGGCAUGUGUUUAUAAAGGUAAAAUGGCUUGAGAACAAAGGGAAGUGUGGCAUGUUCCUCAGGACAGGGGAUUAAUGUGUGAAGAGGUCGAUUUCAAUUUUGUAAGUGAGGUUGUGAGUGUGCAGAGAGUACCUGAAUAGGUG